UAGCAUCGAUAAAUAAUGAACUGAUUAUGAAGCAAAAAGAGAACCUCAUUAAUUGAGCACAGCGAUUCAGAGACACGUUUGCAGCCCAAUAAAUAUUAGACUGGAUAUCUAAUCUUCAGUGUUAUGAAGGUCACGUUGAGCUGCUUAUGAAAGCACUCAUGAUACGAGGUACGGGGUAUCAGACACGGAGCCAGUAGUUGCACGGAACACAGAAUGCCGUGAAAACAACGACCGAGAUUAUCGGGGUGUUAGUUUCCUGCACGGAGGGAAAGGGCUAUUCGAGGCAAGUGAUAUUCCUUUGAUUCAACUUGAUGCUAUAGUCAAAUGCAGCGAACACGGUACUUACUUGAUUCAAUAAAAUACUUUUGUCGGGCGGAAUACUUGUGACGACUUAAUACAGAAUUGAAUCAAGCUUUUGUACGAUCAUGCUGACUAUAAAUUUUUCUAGAUAACACGGUGAGAGUUCCUUGCUAUGACGUGAAACUUGUGUCAAGAAAAUGUGUUAGGGAAAUGACUAAAAAUUUGAUUCAACGCACAUGGAUCGUUUUGUUCACUGUUAAUACUGUUGGUCACAGAAUUCCGUGGAAAAAACUUCAAAAUCUUCCCGUUAAUACGAAGGUAAUUAAUAUACUGUCACAUCCUCGAUGCCUAACGCCCCUGAAUAUUAGACUUAUUUUACAUCACCGAUUUAGUUCCAUGGAUUGAUAU
rnacentral:lncRNA from 1 species